rnacentral:lncRNA from 1 species
UUAAGCUGCAAGCAGUGAUGAAAACCUCCCGUGGUGUCUAGACACUAGAUCCGAAGAGACAUGGACCUACCAGCUAUCCUUCCAAGACAAUGACAGGGUUUAAGAGCCUUCUACUCAGUAAAAAACUUCUGAAGCUGAGCAGGCAAAUUUGUGCACAUGGCCAGCCUUCUGCACGCAAACGCGCAUUUCUGCACAAUGCUUGGAAGUACAAUUUCAGACGCCGGCUGAGAGCGAUGGACCCUAAGCAGUAUGUGGUUGACUGCAGCACUCUACACUCCACUGGCUUCUGAUGCCUUUUACAAAUCACAUCUGUGAAUGGUGCUCUUACAGCCACCCAUGAAGAGGUGAACAACACACAGUCCAGCUGCCAGGUGAAUGGAGAAAUCUGAACAAAGAGCUUGGAACAAAUCUCUGGAUCCCCAAUGCCCCAGUGGCAUGCAGGGGAUGUCUAUACUGCUUCCUUAAGCAGCCUGAGCCUUUUGCCAAGACAGGUCAUCCCCACUUUCACCCACUGUGCACAGCCAACUCACACAGCAGAUAGGCCAGCAUGGCCCUGAGCCCAUGCCUCAACACAGUGGACAGGUUGUCCUGGG